UACAGAGGGGGCAAGCGUUGUUCGGAAUUACUGGGCGUAAAGGGCCAGUAGGCGGCCAACUAAGUCGGAUGUGAAAUCCCCAGGCUUAACCUGGGAACUGCAUCCGAUACUGGAUGGCUUGAAUUCGGGGGAGGGAUGCAGAAUUCCAGGUGUAGCGGUGAAAUGCGUAGAUAUCUGGAGGAAUACCGGUGGCGAAGGCGGCAUCCUGGACCGACAUUGACGCUGAACGGCGAAAGCUAGGGGA
rnacentral:rRNA from 1 species